GUUCUUUGUCAACUAUGUCAAAUAGGGAAUAUAUAUUUUCUUAACCUAAAGUUUACUUCCUGUUAUGGCCUUUAAUUUCCCUUCUUUUUUCCUUCUUGAUUUAUUUUGUCUUAUAUUUUAUGUAUUCUCAUAAAUUGCUUUUCCUCAUUUUUCAAAUUAAGGUAGAGGAGUUUGUAAACAAACUAAAAAAAUUAAUAGAGCUGUUGGAAAGAUUCUAUUUUCUUACAUAAGUGGACUGCCAUACAUUUGCAUAUAUUUGUUUUUAGAUAAAUUUAUAAUGAUCUGUCAUCUGCAAGAUCAUUUUUAAAUUUAAUUUUCUCUGGAUUCUUUUUGACUGCAGGAUAUUUCAUACACUUGAAAAAGCACAAUUUUCUCUGGAACAAGCAUAUUACUGGAAAGCCUUUAUAAAGUUAAUCAGGAAGACUUGCAAAGUGGCUCAAUAUGUAAAUAUGCAAGAGAGUUUCCAGAACAGACUAUCAGAUCCACAAAGAGUGAGAUGGGGAGAGGCAUACAGGAUGCCCCGGCUUGAGCACAAAGCAGGACAUCCACCCGUCAGCCUGCGCAGAGACAGGUAAGGAUCAGAGAUGCUUUGUUAGCCCCUGGAUUGCAGAGGCAACCCCAGGGAGACCCACAGUUCCCCUUGUAAAUUGAGCCUAUCACUGGCAAUGCUGUGUGUCUGUGUAGGGGCAGCAGGGUGUCUCACAGCCAUGUCAUUUUCUCUUUGAGAUUCGUUGAAGCACUUUGCUCCUAGGACCAGGAAAGGCUCCCCGGUGGCCUAUUCCCUGCCAGACUGGUAUAUCCACCACAGCAAGUCACCAACAGCCAGCUAGUGAGAGUAAGUAUAUUAAAGCACUCAUGUUUUUGUUUAUUUUUGCAGGAAAGAAAAUAGCCCAAUACUGAUAGCAAGCAUGUGGUAUGGCAACUCCAGUUUCUCUUUUAUAAUAGGCUGCUCUUUGGGGGACAUAGCCUAGGUGGUCAUAAAACCUGAGUUCUGGAAACCUGUGACAUUUUGUGCCUCCCUAGAGUCUUGUGUCUUUGGGAAAUGGCACUGCAGGACUGACCAUGUCCGCCUAUCAUAGAAAUAACCCAUCCCAAAGCGUUCUUGUUAAAGACAAAAGGCAGUGCCUAACAAGCUACAAAUACAUGAAAUCCUAAGUUUCUAUGCUGAUUAUUGAGUUAUGGGGAGCGAAUGUUCCCAUAAUAUUUGAAAUGUCUUAGAAAUUCCUAUUUGUGGACAUGUAAACUUUAUCUCCAAAACCACCUCUCUUGGAUUGAGAAGUAAAAUAAAAAAUCAUUUCAGGUCAUUUCCCCAUUUUUUUGGCUUGAAAAUAGGACCACUGUAGAUAUAUCCAGGCUGUUAUCCAGUGUAUCCUACUUCCUACAAUGCAUCUUUUGUCUUCAGGAUUCUGGUCCCCCUGUUGUUUAAAAUGAAUAUGUGUGGUGGCUCACGCCUGUAAUUCCAGCACUUUGAGAGGCUGAGGCGGGUGGAUCACCUGAGGUCAAGAGUUCAAGACCAGCCUGACCAAUAUGGUGAAACCCUGUCUCUACUAAAAAUACAAAAAUUAGCUUGACAUGGUGGUGUGCACCUAUAGUCCCAGCUACUUGGGAUGCUGAGACCGGAGAAUUGCUUAAACCCAGGAGGUGGAGGUUGCAAUGAGUCAAGAUCGUACCACUGGACUUCAGCCUGAGCAACAGAGCAAGACUCCAUCUCAAAAAAAAAAAAAAAGGAUACUCUGUGCUAACAGGUUACAUCAAAGUGGAUGAGCUGAGCAAGAAGAGACAGGCUUAGAAGGGGAAGCAGGAGACUAGGGGCCUCCUGCAAUGCUGCCUGUGCUUGCAGGAACAGAGCAGGUCAGGCAGCCUGAGGUGAGGGUAGGACCUGAGUAUCCCAGGCAGAUGUGGAGUGAUGGGUUUCCUGAGCGCCCUUGACCCUGAGCACUGACUGAGGGAUGCCCAAUCCCUGAAUAGACCAAUAACAAGAUCUGAAAUUGAGGCAGUAAUUAACAGCGUACCAACGAAAAAAAAAAAAAAAAAGCCCAAGACCAGACAGAUUCACAGCUGAAUUCUAGCAGAGGUACAAAGGGGAGCUGGUACCAUUACUUCUGAAACUAUUUCAAACAAAAGAAAAAGAGGGAAUCCUCCCUAACUCAUGUUUAAUCAGGUCCGGAUCAUCCCUGAUGACCAAAACUGGCAACACAAUCACAUCACACACACACACACACACACACACACACACACACACAGAAUCUCAUGCUGAGAUCCCUGAUGAAUAUAGAUACAAAAAUCCUCAAUAAAAUACUGCAACCAAGCCAGCAACACAUCAAUAAGCUUAUCAGCCCA
rnacentral:lncRNA from 1 species